rnacentral:lncRNA from 1 species
GUCUUAUACAUAGAGAAGAGUUACCUGAAAAGAUAAUAAAAGCGACGCAAAUAACAUAGGCUAAGCAGGCUUCAAGAGAUGAGAGAAACUUGUUGAAGCCAGUCUAGGGUUUGGAUAUUGAGAUUGAUUGAGGUCAAAUUUAAAGCUAAUAUGAAAACUUGAUGUUAUUCUUUUAUUUUUAUAAAGGGUGCGGUUUGUAUCAUAGUCAGCAAAUCGGUGAUUAAUAGCCGAUUUUUUCAGAAAAAACGGAGCUUUUUUUGAAAAACGUUUAAAACGGGUAAAAAAAAACGUUCUUUUCUUGCUGAUUUUACAGAUAAAAACCCAAGAAAAUAAAAAGAGCCAUGUUUCUCUGUCUAGAACCACAAGCUUUGAAACCUGCAAAUUACAGAGAAAAACCCCAUUGAACCACAGUCCUUUUUACUGAUUUUACAACGAAAAAUCCAAAAAAUUGAAAAGGGCCCUGUUUCUCUCUCUAGAACCUCAACCUUUGAAACCUGCAAAUUAUAGAGAAAAAACCCCAUUGGAAAAUUACAAAGAAGAAGAAUAAACAGGAACCUUAAUGAGGAGUAGAACAAACCUUGUUUGCAUGAAUCUUGUUCUUAAGCUGGUGGUUUCUCUAUGAAACCUCGAUGCUCUUACUGCUCGUAAACCUAGUUUUGUAGCAGUUCCUUCCAUAAUCCUGAAAAUACAAGGUAUGGUUGCGCAUCGACAUUGAAUGCAUAUGCAUAUGCAUAUGCAUCUGCUGUGAGACUUACAACAUGAGAAGACGAAUUAUGGCACUGCACUCCCUUCUACUCACAAAAAUUCAACCCCUUCCACGAAUUUGGUAGCAGUUCCCCCAUUCUUUUGUUUUCUCAUCUAUCCCUUCUCUCUCUAGAAACUAGAAACUAGAGGACUCAAAUCCAAAUGCAAGCAUGCAUAUAAACCCUAAUCAUUAACGAUAGUUAUAAAGUUGUUAUAUUAUAGUUAAAGCAUUUGAUGGUAAAAUAAAUC